rnacentral:rRNA from 1 species
UACAGAGGGUGCGAGCGUUAAUCGGAAUUACUGGGCGUAAAGCGUGCGUAGACGGUUAUUUAAGUCGGGUGUGAAAGCCCCGGGCUCAACCUGGGAAUUGCAUUCGAGACUGAAUAGCUAGGGUACGGUAGAGGGAAGCGGAAUUUCCGGUGUAGCGGUGAAAUGCGUAGAUAUCGGAAGGAACAUCAGUGGCGAAAGCGGCUUCCUGGACCAGUACCGACGUUCAGGCCCGAAAGCGUGGGGAGCAAAAGGG